rnacentral:rRNA from 1 species
GACGAACGCUGGCGGCGUGCCUUAUACAUGCAAGUCGAACGCAGUGGGGACGGGAGAGUAACACGUGGGUAACCUGCCAUCAGAGGGGAUAACACUUGGAAACAAGUGCUAAACCGAUACUGAUGGAUGGACCCGCGGUGCAUUAGCUAGUUGGUGGGGUAACGGCUCACCAAGGCCACGAUGCAUAGCCGGGCUGAGAGGGUGAUCAGCCACACUGGGACUGAGACACGGCCCAGACUCCUACGGGAGGCAGCAGUAGGGAAUCUUCGGCAAUGGACGAAAGUCUGACCGAGCAACGCCGCGUGAGUGAAGAAGGUUUUCGGAUCGUAAAACUCUGUUGUUAGAGAAGCGGUAUCUAACCAGAAAGCCACGGCUAACUACGUGCCAGCCGCCGCGGUAAUUC